GGCGUCAUAGCUCAGUUGGGAGAGCAGCAGACUGAAGAUAAUUGGUGCUUAUGUAAUCAGAUUACGUAAUCUGAAGGUCCCGUGUUCAAGCCACGGUGAUGCCA